CGCAAAGCCGAACUAUACAAACUUUUCAUAUCUACCACGUGUACUCCCCAACCAGGAGUAGUUCUGCAUUCGGAAAACUAUAACGAGAUCAAGGGUCUGAUGUCAUCCCUCUUGGCCUCAAUUACCACGAUCAGCGCUAGGCUGGAUAAGCUGGAAACCCCGCAGAUUACGACAGUCACCUCACCCAUACCAACCCUCACUUCGGCUCUCCUCCCCCAUGGUAAUGACACUCCCUUAAACCCAAUACCAAGCACAUCCACCCACAUCAUCACACCUGCACAUUUUGUACCCCCGACAAUACGCAAAGACAUUCUGGAAGGCAAGGACAUAAACCUUGUAUCUCUGCUGAUCGCAUCACAAGAUGUAGUGGAAAACAAGGCAUAUUGCUAUGGUGAUCUUUCGGUUGUGCUAAAAGCCAGAGAUCCCAGGCUCAACCGAAAACUCACCAUACCUGAAUUCGUCCUUGCCUUCGGCCUCUACCGUGACGUAAUCUGUUCCACAUCCCCGCACCGUAGGGAGGAAUUGGACUUGUA